UUCUGAAUGCUGAACCAUCACCCGGAAAGGAGGGCAGAGAGAAAUCACACAAGAAUGUCAAAGAAAAAGUACAUUUGGAUGAACGAUAUUCUCAUUUGCUCAGAGGACUCAUUCAAACUCAGAGAUUACUUCGCUGGAGGAACCUGGACAACAGCUCCGGAGACGGACCUUCAGUCAGCAGCUGUAACAGCUCGAACUCAGCCAGUGCAAAC